ACGCAAUAGAUACCCCGGUAGUCCACGCCCUAAACGAUGUCUACUAGUUGUCGGGUCUUAAUUGACUUGGUAAACGCAGCUAAACGCGUGAAGUAGACCGCCUGGGGAGUACGGUCGCAAGAUUAAAACUCAAAGGAAUUGACGGGGACCCGCACAAGCGGUGGAUGAUGUGGAUUAAUUCGAUGCAACGCGAAAAACCUUACCUACCCUUGACAUGGAAGGAAUCCCUGAGAGAUCGGGGAGUGCUCGAAAGAGAACCUUUACACAGGUGCUGCAUGGCUGUCGUCAGCUCGUGUCGUGAGAUGUUGGGUUAAGUCCCGCAACGAGCGCAACCCUUGUCAUUAGUUGCUACGAAAGGGCACUCUAAUGAGACUGCCGGUGACAAACCGGAGGAAGGUGGGGAUGACGUCAAGUCCUCAUGGCCCUUAUGGGUAGGGCUUCACACGUCAUACAAUGGUACAUACAGAGGGCCGCCAACCCGCGAGGGGAGCUAAUCCCAGAAAGUGUAUCGUAGUCCGGAUUGUAGUCUGCAACUCG
rnacentral:rRNA from 1 species